UUUGAGCUAUAUCACUACCACUGAAAACCUCCAUCCUUUGUUGUGACCUAUAUUAUGCAAUACAAGACCUCUUUUAGAAAACUAUGGCUAUAAUUUUUUAUAAACAUUCUUUAUAUAUACAAUAAUAAAGUAGAAAAAGGUUAGACAAUUUUCAUAGCUAUUCUUAUACUAAAUUGAGGUUUUGUAUCUGUGUUUGUGAUAGAUACAAAGUAUACAAAUGAGACAUCGCAUUUUAAAGCUGAAUUAUCCAACACGAGAGAUCCACACGCACCCUUUAGUUCCUGUAACUCAAAAUCCAACACACACCCAUGUUAAUUCAUCCAAAAGGGUACAUGACUAAACCAGAAAA